UUGUGAGGUUAAGCGACUAAGCGUACACGGUGGAUGCCCUGGCAGUCAGAGGCGAUGAAGGACGUGCUAAUCUGCGAUAAGCGCCGGUAAGGUGAUAUGAACCGUUAUAACCGGCGAUUUCCGAAUGGGGAAACCCAGUGUGAUUCGUCACACUAUCAUUAACUGAAUCCAUAGGUUAAUGAGGCGAACCGGGGGAACUGAAACAUCUAAGUACCCCGAGGAAAAGAAAUCAACCGAGAUUCCCCCAGUAGCGGCGAGCGAACGGGGAGGAGCCCAGAGCCUGAAUCAGCAUGUGUGUUAGUGGAAGCGUCUGGAAAGGCGCGCGAUACAGGGUGACAGCCCCGUACACAAAAGCGCAUGUGCUGUGAGCUCGAUGAGUAGGGCGGGACACGUGGUAUCCUGUCUGAAUAUGGGGGGACCAUCCUCCAAGGCUAAAUACUCCUGACUGACCGAUAGUGAACCAGUACCGUGAGGGAAAGGCGAAAAGAACCCCGGCGAGGGGAGUGAAAAAGAACCUGAAACCGUGUACGUACAAGCAGUGGGAGCACAGGUUUACCUGUGUGACUGCGUACCUUUUGUAUAAUGGGUCAGCGACUUAUAUUCUGUAGCAAG
rnacentral:rRNA from 1 species